UUAUGUAAACAAUAUUUUGUAAACUUUUGAUAAUAAAAAAAAAAGACUGGUUACCCACUGAAGCUAAGCAGGGCUGAGCCUGGUCAGUACCUGGAUGGGAGACCUCCUGGGAAAACUAGGUUGCUGCUGGAA
rnacentral:rRNA from 1 species